rnacentral:tRNA from 2 species
GCCGGGGUGGCGGAAUGGCAGACGCUACGGACUUAAAAUCCGUUGACCGCAAGGUCGUGCGGGUUCGACUCCCGCCCUCGGCACCA